rnacentral:lncRNA from 1 species
GGGGAGUGGAAAUUUUUCCUGGGUGGCCCUCAUUGCUUCUGUCAUCUUCCUCCAUAAACUGUUGCACCUCUACCAUUCUGCCUUGGAGCCAGCUGAUUAUGGACUGAAACCUCUACAAACUGUGAGCUAAAAAAAUCUUUUCCCCUUUAAAAAAAAAAAGAAAAGAAAAGAAAAAGAAAUUUUUCCUGGACAAAGAAACCACAGGCUCACAGCAAAUGUGACUGACUUCACAUCACAAGGUUGGGUUCCUGUCUCUCUGGUGGCUUCUCAUUUUCCUCCUGAAAUGUCAGCUCCACAAGACCGGGGAUUGUGUUUGUCUUCUUCACCUCUCAAUCCCAAGAAAUACAGUGCUCAUGGCCCGUGUAUUAAAGGCUUGGUCCUUAUCUUGGUGCUAAUGGAAGGUGAUGGAAGCAUUUAAGAGGAUCAGUGGGGACCACCAACUAUGGACUGAAACUUCCAGAACCGAGCCAAGCAAACCUUUCCUCUUUUUAAGAUGAUUAUCUCAGGACCUUGCCUUGUGAGGCAGGCGGCGGAACCACUGAGCUGAAUCCCCAGGCCAAGAUGAAUUCUUAACACAUAAUUGGGGCUCUAUCAUGAUCGCUCACCAUGAGGAAUAUAUUCACACUUUCCACGUAUUCAAUUUAGAUGUAAAGUAAUAAUACUGGCUUCUGGAACUACAGAAGAGAAACUUAUUAUAUUAUAGACGUAUUUUACAAAUAUGACCUCCCACAUCUGCUGGGAAUUCAAACAAUAUGCAGAAAGUUCCGAUAAAACUAGACAGUAGAAUACAGGAAAAUUGAGCAAUAGAUCUAGUAAGGGAAUGUAGUUUGCAAUUUUGCCAAAGGCUUGAGAACUCUCAUGUCACAUGAUUAUAGAAAG